rnacentral:sRNA from 1 species
CGCAUGCGCAUAGCUAACCGCACCCGGUUCAGCUCGCCUUUCUUGGCCAGAGGCGCCGGUUGGACUCACGGGCGGGGCAUGAUGGUGGUGGGUACAGGCACCUCGCUGGCGCUCUCCUCCCUCCUGUCCCUGCUGCUCUUUGCUGGGAUGCAGAUGUACAGCCGUCAGCUGGCCUCCACCGAGUGGCUCACCAUCCAGGGCGGCCUGCUUGGUUCGGGUCUCUUCGUGUUCUCGCUCACUGUAUCCUCCCUGCAGUUGGAGGGGGCGGGCCACGUAGGCAUGUGCCCUUCCCCUUCCCCACACAGCUCUGUCCCCGUUGCACACCCUACUCCUUAACUCCCUCAACCAGGCCUUCAAUAAUCUGGAGAAUCUUGUCUUUGGCAAAGGAUUCCAAGCAAAGAUCUUCCCUGAGAGUAAGUGAAUAUUGGAGCUUGAGUAUUUGAACUUUCUCCUCUUUAACCUCCUGAAACAUGAUAUUGAGUUUCCAGAUGCUUAGGUGAAAGGUUGUUAAGGAGAAAUAUAUUUACUGAAGCUGUCUGAAGACAGAUGACGCUUUUCGAUUCUGCACCUUGUAUAGCUCCUGGAGUUGGAGCUGGAAGAGAAGGCCUUUGAAAGCAAGAAACUUUGGUACCUUCUGGCCAGCUCCCAGGGAAGGCUUGAGGGGAACAGGCAAAUUUGGGCUGAUGUUUUGCAUCUAUUCGCUGGGAGGCGGUCCUUGUUCCCACCAGAAGAAGCAGCAGGACCAAGUUCACUAUGGAGUUCUGAUGUGAAAUUAACUCAAUAUUAGAGAAUUCUACUUAUUUGAGGGAAUUGUGAAGAGCCUAAAUACUAGAGGCACCAAAUAUCUAUGGCAGCAGGAAUCCUGACCAAAUCAGAAUAACUGUUAGAUUAUUUCCUGUUUGGAAUAAUUCUUGUUCAAUUGCUCAUGUAAUCAAGAAUUGAUGAUUCAGUUAUUUAUGGAGAAUUAAGUUUAUAAAGCAAAUUAAGUGUCAAGGCCAGAUUACUUAAGGAAUGCCACGUGCUCAGAAAUUCACAGCAGAUGCAAUCUCAUGUAAAACCCUCAUGUGGUAAAACAAAGAUCUAUCAUGGUUGCCCUUAAUCUUUUCUCUUUUUUUUUUUUUUUUUUUUUUGAGACAAGGCUUUACUCUGUCGCCUAGGCUGGAGUGCAGGGAUGUGAUCAUGGCUCACUGAAGCCUUGACCUGGUCUCAAGCAAUCUUCCCUCCUCAGUCUUACCAGUAGCUGGGACUACCAGUGAGUGCCACCACACCCAGCUACUGUUUUAAGUUUUUGUAGAGAUGGGGUUUCACCACAUUGCCCAGGCUGGUCUCGAACUCCUGGGCUCAAGUGAUCCUCCUAUUUCAGCCUCCCAGAGUGCUGGAAUUACAGGUGUGAGCCACUGUGCCUGGCUGCCCUCAUUUCUUUGCCCCCCUCUAGGACUUGCUUUCUCCGCAUAGCCCUUUUGCAGGCUUCAGAGUUCUUUCCAUCCAGUAGCCCCGGGACUUCUCUCUGUUAGAUUUUGUUUCCAUAUGUAUUACCUUCACUUGCUUCUUUUUUUUUUUUUUUGAGAUGGAGUCUCGCUCUGUCGCCCAUGCUGGAGUACAGUGGUGUGAACCCAGCUCACUGGAGCCUCUGCCUCCCAGGUUCAAGCGAUUCUCUUGCCUCAGCCUCCCGAGUAGCUGGGAUUACAGCGUGCGCCACCAUAACUGGCUAAUUUUUGUAUUUUUGGUAGAGAUAGGAUUUCACCAUGUUGGUUAGGCUGGUCUUGAACUCCUGACCUUAAGUGAUCCACCCGUCUUGGCCUCCCAGAGUGCUGGGAUUACAGGGGUGAGCCACUGUGCCUGGCUUUUCAGUUGCUUCUGAAAGAAACCAUUGGCUGGGUGGGAUGGCACACGCCUGUAAUCCUAGCACUUUGGGAGGUGUAGGCCGGCAGAUAGCUUGGGCCCAGGAAUUCAAGACCAGCUUGGGCAACAUAGAGAGACACUGUCUCUCCAAAAAAAUACAAAAAUUAGCUGGGCAUGGUGGUACGCACCUAUAGUCCCAGGUACUCGGGAAGCUGAGGUGGGAUGAUCGCUUGAGCCCAGGAGAUCAAGGCUGCAGUGAGCUGAAACUGCACCACUGCACUCCAGCCUGGGCGACAGAGUGAGAUUCUGCCUCAAAAAUAAAAAAAAAAAAAAAAAGAAAGAAAAGAUGCCAUUGUGGUGGGGCAAAGUUCUUGGCCCACUUUGCCUUCUCUGCCCUCUCCACCUGGGCAGGUGGGGUCCUGUUUGUCUUUGCUUUUGUCCUCUCACCUUCUCUCCCAUCAUAUUCCAGGUAACCUAAAAUCCUUUCCUGCCCCCAUGAAGAAGUGGAUCCAAGCAUUCUGCCCUCCAACCUGUGUCCAGGGAGCAAGGCCUUCAACUUCCACCACUGGUCACCCAGCUUAAUGAAUUGACUCUCAUUGUCUGGCUUCUUUUGGAAAGGGUUUAACUGGGUUCCCCAAAUGGGAACACACCUUGCCCUUCAGACUCUGUUGUCCAUCACCUUUCCUUUUCCCUUUUAUGGGAGGAAAGCCAGGGUAGGGAAGUUAUGUGAGAUUUGGGGCAGAGCUGGUAAAAAAAAGCAUACAUCUACAUCCAUGUUCUUUUUUUUUUUUUUUUUUUUGGAGACGGGGUCUCACUCUGUUGCCCAGGCUGGAGUGCAGUGGUGCGAUCACAGUUCACUGCAGCUUUGAACUUCCUGGCUCAAGGGUUCCUCCAACUUCAGCCUCCUGAAUAGCUGGGACUACAGGCAUGUGUACCACUGUACUACCAUGCCUGGCUAAAUUUUUUUUAAUUCAAUUUUUUUUUUUUUAAGAGAUGGGUCUCACUUUGUUGUUCAGGCUGGUCUCAAACUCCUGGGCUCAAGUGAUCUGCCCACCUCAGCCUCCCGAAGUGCUGGGAUUCCAGGUGCAAGCCACCACACUCAACCUCCUACCUCCAUGUUCUGGGUAUCAUUAAGGUAAUCAGAAUCCUCCUGCUGUAGUCACGCUUACCCUUCUAAGCAGGUUCCCCAGGAUUCAGAGAGCCCCGGAUUUCUCCUGGACUCCAUGUGCAGAUGCCUAGUAUUUCCAUUCUGACCGUUGCCCUCCUUGUUCUUCUUGCCUCCCUAGUUCUCCUGUGCCUCCUGUUGGCUCUCUUUGCAUCUGGCCUCAUCCACCGAGUCUGUGUCACCACCUGCUUCAUCUUCUCCAUGAUUGGUCUGUACUACAUCAACAAGAUCUCCUCCACCCUGUACCAGGCAGCAGCUCCAGUCCUCACACCAGCCAAGGUCACAGGCAAGAGCAAGAAGAGAAACUGACCCUGAAUGUUCAAUAAAGUUGAUUCUUUGU